rnacentral:rRNA from 1 species
GACGAACGCUGGCGGCGUGCUUAACACAUGCAAGUCGAAUGAGUGGCGAACGGGGGAGUAACACGUGGGUGACCUGCCCUGCACUUCGGGAAAAGCCCGGGAAAAUGGGUCUAACACCGGAUAGUGUGGGACGGGCCCGCGGCCUAUCAGCUUGUUGGUGGGGUAAUGGCUACCGAGUCGCGACGGGUAGCCGGCCUGAGAGGGUGGACGGCCACAUUGGAACUGAGACACGGCCCAGACGCCUACGGGAGGCAGCAGUGGGGAAUAUUGCACAAUGGGCGGAAGCCUGAUGCAGCGACGCCGCGUGUAUGAAGAAGGCCUUAGGGUUGUAAAGUACUUUCAGCGGGGAGGCGUUACCCGCAGAAGAAGCACCGGCUAACUCCGUGCCAGCCGCCGCGGUAAUAC